UUUUGUGAUAGCUCAGUUGGUAGAGCAUGAGACUCUUAAUCUCAGGGCUGUGGGUUUGAGCUCCACAUUGAUCGAAAG